GACGAACGCUGGCGGCGUGCUUAACACAUGCAAGUCGAACGGAGAAGCGCCUUCUUUUUUGGGGGGUGUGGUUGCGAGGCGAACGGGAGCGUAACAGGUGAGUACCCUGCACUUUUCUUUAGGAUAACCGCACGAAAGCGAGGCCAAUAUGGGAUAUUCUGGUUCUGUCGCUUGUUGGGUGUGGGUCGGAUAUUGUUUAGGUGGGGGAUGGGCUCGCGGCCUAUCAGCUUGUUGGUGGGGUGAUGGCCUACCAAGGCGGUGACGGGUAGCCGGCCUGAGAGGGUGGACGGUCACAUUGGGACUGAGACACGACCCAGACUCCUACGGGAGGCAGCAGUGGGGAAUAUUGCACAAUGGGCGGAAGCCUGAUGCAGCAACGCCGCGUGCGGGAUGACGGCCUUCGGGUUGUAAACCGCUUUCGCCUGUGACGAAGCGUGAGUGACGGUAAUGGGUAAAGAAGCACCGGCUAACUACGUG
rnacentral:rRNA from 1 species